GUAGGGAAUAUUGGGCAAUGGAGGCAACUCUGACCCAGCCAUGCCGCGUGAAGGAUGAAGGCCUUCUGGGUUGUAAACUUCUUUUAUACAGGAAGAAAAAGGUCAUGCGUGACCAAUUGACGGUACUGUAUGAAUAAGCACCGGCUAACUCCGUGCCAGCAGCCGCGGUAAUACGGAGGGUGCAAGCGUUGUCCGGAUUUAUUGGGUUUAAAGGGUGCGCAGGCGGUGCGUUAAGUCAGUGGUGAAAUCUCUCGGCUCAACCGAGAAACUGCCAUUGAUACUGGCGUACUUGAGUACGGACGAGGUAGGCGGAAUUUAUGGUGUAGCGGUGAAAUGCAUAGAUACCAUAAAGAACACCGAUAGCGAAGGCAGCUUACUAGACCGUAACUGACGCUCAUGCACGAAAGCGUGGGGAGCGAACAGGAUUAGAAACCCUAGUAGUCC
rnacentral:rRNA from 1 species